GGGUUGUGAGGUUAAGCGACUAAGCGUACACGGUGGAUGCCCUGGCAGUCAGAGGCGAUGAAGGACGUGCUAAUCUGCGAUAAGCGUCGGUAAGGUGAUAUGAACCGUUAUAACCGGCGAUUUCCGAAUGGGGAAACCCAGUGUGUUUCGACACACUAUCAUUAACUGAAUCCAUAGGUUAAUGAGGCGAACCGGGGGAACUGAAACAUCUAAGUACCCCGAGGAAAAGAAAUCAACCGAGAUUCCCCCAGUAGCGGCGAGCGAACGGGGAGCAGCCCAGAGCCUGAAUCAGUGUGUGUGUUAGUGGAAGCGUCUGGAAAGGCGCGCGAUACAGGGUGACAGCCCCGUACACAAAAAUGCACAUACUGUGAGCUCGAUGAGUAGGGCGGGACACGUGGUAUCCUGUCUGAAUAUGGGGGGACCAUCCUCCAAGGCUAAAUACUCCUGACUGACCGAUAGUGAACCAGUACCGUGAGGGAAAGGCGAAAAGAACCCCGGCGAGGGGAGUGAAAAAGAACCUGAAACCGUGUACGUACAAGCAGUGGGAGCACGCUUAGGCGUGUGACUGCGUACCUUUUGUAUAAUGGGUCAGCGACUUAUAUUCUGUAGCAAGGUUAACCGAAUAGGGGAGCCGAAGGGAAACCGAGUCUUAACUGGGCGUUAAGUUGCAGGGUAUAGACCCGAAACCCGGUGAUCUAGCCAUGGGCAGGUUGAAGGUUGGGUAACACUAACUGGAGGACCGAACCGACUAAUGUUGAAAAAUUAGCGGAUGACUUGUGGCUGGGGGUGAAAGGCCAAUCAAACCGGGAGAUAGCUGGUUCUCCCCGAAAGCUAUUUAGGUAGCGCCUCGUGAAUUCAUCUCCGGGGGUAGAGCACUGUUUCGGCAAGGGGGUCAUCCCGACUUACCAACCCGAUGCAAACUGCGAAUACCGGAGAAUGUUAUCACGGGAGACACACGGCGGGUGCUAACGUCCGUCGUGAAGAGGGAAACAACCCAGACCGCCAGCUAAGGUCCCAAAGUCAUGGUUAAGUGGGAAACGAUGUGGGAAGGCCCAGACAGCCAGGAUGUUGGCUUAGAAGCAGCCAUCAUUUAAAGAAAGCGUAAUAGCUCACUGGUCGAGUCGGCCUGCGCGGAAGAUGUAACGGGGCUAAACCAUGCACCGAAGCUGCGGCAGCGACGCUUAUGCGUUGUUGGGUAGGGGAGCGUUCUGUAAGCCUGCGAAGGUGUGCUGUGAGGCAUGCUGGAGGUAUCAGAAGUGCGAAUGCUGACAUAAGUAACGAUAAAGCGGGUGAAAAGCCCGCUCGCCGGAAGACCAAGGGUUCCUGUCCAACGUUAAUCGGGGCAGGGUGAGUCGACCCCUAAGGCGAGGCCGAAAGGCGUAGUCGAUGGGAAACAGGUUAAUAUUCCUGUACUUGGUGUUACUGCGAAGGGGGGACGGAGAAGGCUAUGUUGGCCGGGCGACGGUUGUCCCGGUUUAAGCGUGUAGGCUGGUUUUCCAGGCAAAUCCGGAAAAUCAAGGCUGAGGCGUGAUGACGAGGCACUACGGUGCUGAAGCAACAAAUGCCCUGCUUCCAGGAAAAGCCUCUAAGCAUCAGGUAACAUCAAAUCGUACCCCAAACCGACACAGGUGGUCAGGUAGAGAAUACCAAGGCGCUUGAGAGAACUCGGGUGAAGGAACUAGGCAAAAUGGUGCCGUAACUUCGGGAGAAGGCACGCUGAUAUGUAGGUGAAGUCCCUCGCGGAUGGAGCUGAAAUCAGUCGAAGAUACCAGCUGGCUGCAACUGUUUAUUAAAAACACAGCACUGUGCAAACACGAAAGUGGACGUAUACGGUGUGACGCCUGCCCGGUGCCGGAAGGUUAAUUGAUGGGGUCAGCGCAAGCGAAGCUCUUGAUCGAAGCCCCGGUAAACGGCGGCCGUAACUAUAACGGUCCUAAGGUAGCGAAAUUCCUUGUCGGGUAAGUUCCGACCUGCACGAAUGGCGUAAUGAUGGCCAGGCUGUCUCCACCCGAGACUCAGUGAAAUUGAACUCGCUGUGAAGAUGCAGUGUACCCGCGGCAAGACGGAAAGACCCCGUGAACCUUUACUAUAGCUUGACACUGAACAUUGAGCCUUGAUGUGUAGGAUAGGUGGGAGGCUUUGAAGUGUGGACGCCAGUCUGCAUGGAGCCGACCUUGAAAUACCACCCUUUAAUGUUUGAUGUUCUAACGUGGACCCGUGAUCCGGGUUGCGGACAGUGUCUGGUGGGUAGUUUGACUGGGGCGGUCUCCUCCUAAAGAGUAACGGAGGAGCACGAAGGUUGGCUAAUCCUGGUCGGACAUCAGGAGGUUAGUGCAAUGGCAUAAGCCAGCUUGACUGCGAGCGUGACGGCGCGAGCAGGUGCGAAAGCAGGUCAUAGUGAUCCGGUGGUUCUGAAUGGAAGGGCCAUCGCUCAACGGAUAAAAGGUACUCCGGGGAUAACAGGCUGAUACCGCCCAAGAGUUCAUAUCGACGGCGGUGUUUGGCACCUCGAUGUCGGCUCAUCACAUCCUGGGGCUGAAGUAGGUCCCAAGGGUAUGGCUGUUCGCCAUUUAAAGUGGUACGCGAGCUGGGUUUAGAACGUCGUGAGACAGUUCGGUCCCUAUCUGCCGUGGGCGCUGGAGAACUGAGGGGGGCUGCUCCUAGUACGAGAGGACCGGAGUGGACGCAUCACUGGUGUUCGGGUUGUCAUGCCAAUGGCACUGCCCGGUAGCUAAAUGCGGAAGAGAUAAGUGCUGAAAGCAUCUAAGCACGAAACUUGCCCCGAGAUGAGUUCUCCCUGACUCCUUGAGAGUCCUGAAGGAACGUUGAAGACGACGACGUUGAUAGGCCGGGUGUGUAAGCGCAGCGAUGCGUUGAGCUAACCGGUACUAAUGAACCGUGAGGCUUAACCUUACAACGCCGAAGCUGUU
rnacentral:rRNA from 1 species